rnacentral:rRNA from 1 species
CAAUAGCGUAUAUUUAAGUUGUUGCAGUUAAAAAGCUCGUAGUUGGAUUUCGGGUGGGACGCAGCGGUCUCGCAUUGCGUUUGUACUGCUGCAGCCCUCCUUCUUGCCGGGGGCGGCCUCUCGGACUUCACUGUCUGGGGGUCAGAAUCGGCGAUGUUGCUUUGAGUAAAUUAGAGUGUUCAAAGCAAGCUUACGCUCUGAAUAUAAUAGCAUGGGAUAACACGACAGGACUCUGGCCUAUCGUGUUGGUCUAUAGGACCAGAGUAAUGAUUAAGAGGGACAGUCGGGGGCAUUCGUAUUCCGUUGUCAGAGGUGAAAUUCUUGGAUUUACGGAAGACGAACAUCUGCGAAAGCAUUUGCCAAGGAUGUUUNCAUUGA